rnacentral:lncRNA from 1 species
CCCACAUUUACAGCCUUAAUGCACUAGAUGAGCGCAUGACUUUAUUCUCACUCUUCCCACGCUCACUAGAUUGACAUUUGCGCUAGGAGGCAACCCAAAUCCAUGAGAAUAUCUGCCCAAAGAUAUUCAUAAACUUCCAUUGACCUGCACUUGAAACACACACUCAUAUUGCUUAGGGAUCUGUACCCAAACAAACUGGCAAAGACACAUUGACUCACACUCUCUGAGCUCCCACAGUCACAUUACUCUUUGAUUACUUUCUUUCCUUCUUGUUACCAUGCUAUAUUCUACUCCUAUGCUUUGCAUGCACUUAAUAAUGACUCUGCCUGACAUAGCUAAAACCCACAUGUCGGUUUCCUCACAUACCUACUCCUCCUAUUAAUAGCAUGAGGAGAACCUCCUGACUUCUCUCUUAGGGGAGUUACAGACAGCUGUACAUCCCUUUCACCUUCCACCCACAGAUGCCUGCCUUUCAUGUUUGGGUGUCCCCACAGUUUGAAAGGAAGUUCCAGCCAAGAGAUUCUGAGCAGAUCAUGGGCUCAUCAUGCAAAGGAACCUAACAUCUCUGACUUGGAAUAUAUGUCAUGGAUCUGAAAGGCUUGGGGACAUAAUUGCUUUACAAUGUAGAAGCAGAGACAAAACUACUUUUACAACAAAGCCUGAAGAGACAGACAAAGGGGACACAAGACCCUCUUGCACAAGACAAUGGGGAUGUGGAUUUAAUAUGUUAUUUCACUCAUAUAAGGAAUUCUCGGAUGAGGAAACUCCCUUUCCCAAUGCAGGUUGGUAACUUCCCUUCAAUUUAUAGUCUUAUAGAGUUUCCUAGUACACUGAGA